rnacentral:rRNA from 1 species
CAACUCGCCUGCAUGAAGUCGGAAUUGCUAGUAAUCGUGGAUCAGCAUGCCACGGUGAAUACGUUCCCGGGCCUUGUACACACCGCCCGUCACACCAUGAGAGUUGGGGAUACCCGAAGCCUGUGAGCUAACAGUAAUGAAGCAGCAGUCGAAGGUAGAAUCAAUGAUUGGGGUGAAGUCGUAACAAGGUAAC